rnacentral:lncRNA from 1 species
AAAUCACGUGGUUGCCCUUCCUUUGGCCUUGCUAGGGGCCCCUGAGAGUUUCCAGAGGUUCCAUCCUGCAGGUGGGUUGAGGGGCCAGUGGCUCCCUGAGCAGCCAAGGGAGUCGGAGGAGGGGAAGACCAACCCUCUCCCUAUGCACACUGGCUUUCUCCGCAGGUUGGCAGGGGGCUCAAGCCCUAAGGUGUUGAAGACACAGAGCUGUCCCUCCCCCGUGGGAAAAAUGUCAGGGUCACCUGUCCAGAAACCCUCGCCACACCGUUUCAUUAGCACGAAGGUGCUCUUGGCCGAGGGCGAGGACACACCCUUCACGGAGCACUGCCGCCAUUAUGAGGAUUCCUAUCGGGUGAGGGGGUUGGGCAGCAGUAGGGUUGUGAGUCCCCACCCCUUCUUCGUUAAGAUUUAGCUCAGUGGUAGAGCGCUUGCCUAGCAAGCGCAAGGCCCUGGGUUCGGUCCCCAGCUCAAAAAAAAAAAAAAAAAA